AUUAUUAUGUUCUCUUUAUCUUGCUAACUUAUAUACAUGUAUAUAUACACUGAACAACUUGAUAAAAAGCUGCAUAACACAAAAUACAAUUUGAAAAUUUGACAAUAUAAAUAAAUAACAUCAACAGGAAAAAAAAAGAAGAAAGUCAUAUAAAUCCAUGGUUAUAGUCCUAGCAUAACUUAUUUUGUAAAAAAGAAAAAAAA
rnacentral:misc_RNA from 1 species